GGCAUGACGUGCUUUGCGAUUUAUCGAUUGAUCGGCCAUUUAAACCUAUGGAAAAGUAUCGAUAAACAGGGUGUUUGCAGCGAAUAGCUUAAUAAUCGAUUAUUUACCGCAGCUUCAAAUAGGGAAAUAUCGAUAGAUCGCAAUGCGCGCCACGCCACUGGACUACGAUGCGGUCAUAUUUUUGACCUUCAUGAGAAUUUGCGGAAUUUUUAGCCUUGAUACCCCUGCAAUAUUGUGUGGACCCAGCAUCAAUCUCCCAUCCUGAUGAUUCAGCAGUUGUAACUCCGACUUUCUCUCCUCUUUUUCCUCGUUUCUUGAAUAGGUUACUAUAGCUUGAUCUUUUAAGUUCAAUUUCUUUACUUUUUUCCCAGUGUCUCUCACGGCAGCAGCUCGACAAAGACGAGCAAAGAUUCAAAAAAGUCAUCAAAAACUAAAUUGGAAAUAGUUGCGGGUGCUGCUCGUGCUGCCCGUGCUGCCGUCAAAAUGAAGAGAUUUUUAACAAGACGCAACAGCAGCAACGGCAGAAAGGGCUCAGACUCCCUCACUCGAAGUGGGCCCUUAUCGCGAGAGGAUUCGUUUCAGGACGGAGGGAGUUGCAGGGCUGAUAAUGGCUUUUAUUCACGCCGGUUCUUGGAAGAGGUGUGCCCCGAUACUACGAUAGACCACGAUGCUUUGACCUGGGAUGAUAAUCGAAAGAUAGAAGCCCUCCGAAGACUCACGGAAAGAUACUGCAGAGAUGGUGUGAUGAGUCCUCACCGAGAGAGUCAAAUCAUGAACGGAAUAUCAGAGCUCGAGAGGGAUUUAUGUCCCGAUGCUGGAGUGUCGAAAAGAAUCUUCCAGCAGCCGGUGGCACCUCAGCCCCCCUCUAUGUCUCCUCCGGGCUCCCCAGAAUCGUCGAGCCUGAUCCUUAACCGCGGCGCCUUCUUCAGGCAGGUAUCGGAUCAUCUAAAUCAACUGACUUUUACCGGUCCGCCUCCACCCAGACCGACAAGUCCCAAACACUUCCAACCGCCCACACCUCCAGGCUCGCCCACCCCGGACCCCAAUUUAAGAACCAGGCAGCUGGAGCAGUGGCUCCUGGAAGUAUGCCCACAAAAACAUAACACUCCAACGACGAACAACGCGAGAUCGACGUCGCCCCCUCGGCUGUCAUCGUCACCCCCUCGGCCGUCAUCGUCACCCCCUCGGCCGCCAUCGUCACCCCUCGGCGGCCAUCGUCACCGAGGGCACAGGGAAAUGCAGCGAGAUGGUCACCAACAAGGCCACCGCCACCGCCCGACACAACCGAAACCCCGAACUUCGAUUAUGCCAGGAGGAUAG
rnacentral:lncRNA from 1 species